GAGGAAAGUCCGGGCAACAUAGAGCAUCCUACUUCCUAACAGAAAGCUGUCCGCGAGGGUAGAGUAACGCAGAAGAAAAUAACCGCCAUAGCCUCCGGGUUACGGUAAGGGUGAGAAGGUGGGGUAAGAGCCCACCAGUCUUGUGGCGACACAAGGGCUGUGUGUCUUGGGAGUUGUAAGGUCAUGUAAACCGACGUUAUGAGAGCUGCUCGCUCCAUGUCGGAGGGUGGACCGCUAAAGCCUGUAUGGUGACAUGCGGCUCAGAUAAAUGACAGACGCCUUGAUGAACGAAAAAUUAAGAAUGAAUAAUGAAAA
rnacentral:RNase_P_RNA from 1 species